UACAGAGGAUGCAAGCGUUAUCCGGAAUGAUUGGGCGUAAAGCGUCUGUAGGUGGCUUUUUAAGUCCGCCGUCAAAUCCCAGGGCUCAACUCUGGACAGGCGGUGGAAACUACCAAGCUGGAGUACGGUAGGGGCAGAGGGAAUUUCCGGUGGAGCGGUGAAAUGCGUAGAGAUUAGGAAGAACACCAGUGGCGAAGGCGACUUUCUGGACUGUAACUGACGCUGAGGCACGAAAGCGUGGGGAGCAAACAGG
rnacentral:rRNA from 1 species